ACCUCCCUCCAGCCGACACCAGCAGCAGCUACUCGGAACCGCCCGAGCGCGACCAGGGGCCCAGCCGUCUGCAACCCUCCCAUUGGUGAUCAGCGAGGUGAUCAGCACAGGUGACCAAGCAGAGCUCAUCAGCACAGGUGACCAUGCAGUCCCAGAAUCGCAAAAGAGCUCCAGCAUGGACCGAACGGGAGGUACUGGAUCUGAUCUCUGUAUGGGGAGAUGAAUCCGUGCUAUCCGAACUCUGUUCCAAAAGACGAAAUUUGAAAAAAAUCUCCAAGGGCAUGAAGGACAGAGGUUAUAACAGGAACCCGCAGUAGUGCCACGUGAAGCCUACCAAAGAACAAGAGAGGCAAACAGCCACUCCAGGUCAGAGCCCCAGACAUGCUGCUUCUAUGGUGAGCGGCAUGCCAUUCUAGGGGGUGCCCCUACAACUACCCCACCCCUGUGCUUCCCUCCUCCCCCACCCCUCCCGGGCUACCUUGGCAGUUAUCCCCCCAUUUGUGUGACGAAUUAAUAAAGAAUGCAUGAAUUUGAAACAACAA